GUCGAACGGUAACAGGAAGCAAGCUUGCUGUUUCGCUGACGAGUGGCGGACGGGUGAGUAAUGUCUGGGAAACUGCCUGAUGGAGGGGGAUAACUACUGGAAACGGUAGCUAAUACCGCAUAACGUCGCAAGACCAAAGAGGGGGACCUUCGGGCCUCUUGCCAUCGGAUGUGCCCAGAUGGGAUUAGCUAGUAGGUGGGGUAACGGCUCACCUAGGCGACGAUCCCUAGCUGGUCUGAGAGGAUGACCAGCCACACUGGAACUGAGACACGGUCCAGACUCCUACGGGAGGCAGCAGUGGGGAAUAUUGCACAAUGGGCGCAAGCCUGAUGCAGCCAUGCCGCGUGUAUGAAGAAGGCCUUCGGGUUGUAAAGUACUUUCAGCGGGGAGGAAGGGAGUAAAGUUAAUACCUUUGCUCAUUGACGUUACCCGCAGAAGAAGCACCGGCUAACUCCGUGCCCGCAGCCGCGGUAAUACGGAGGGUGCAAGCGUUAAUCGGAAUUACUGGGCGUAAAGCGCACGCAGGCGGUUUGUUAAGUCAGAUGUGAAAUCCCCGGGCUCAACCUGGGGAACUGCAUCUGAUACUGGCAAGCUUGAGUCUCGUAGAGGGGGGUAGAAUUCCAGGUGUAGCGGUGAAAUGCGUAGAGAUCUGGAGGAAUACCGGUGGCGAAGGCGGCCCCCUGGACGAAGACUGACGCUCAGUGCGAAAGCGUGGGGAGCAAACAGGAUUUAGAUACUCUGGU
rnacentral:rRNA from 1 species